ensembl:snRNA U6 U6 spliceosomal RNA
GUGCUUACUUUGGCAGCACACAUACUAAAAUUGGAAUGAUACAAAGAAGAUUAGCAUGGCCCCUAUGAAAGUAUGACAUGCAAAUUUAUGAAGCGUUCCAUAUUUUU